AGUUUAUGUGGUGAAAUUCACAUUAAGUUGUAAACUUAAAGAUACUUAAGUCUAAGCUU
rnacentral:tRNA from 1 species